CACAGCUGUAGACAACUGCCUAGGUUGCCUUGUACCUAAGCAAGUAUUACACUGCUGACAGAAAAGCAGCCAGUAGCUGUCAGGCAUUCUGGGCCUGGUUAAUGCCAAAUUU
ensembl:snoRNA SNORA74 Small nucleolar RNA SNORA74